CCUACGGGGGGCUGCAGUGGGGAAUAUUGGACAAUGGGCGAAAGCCUGAUCCAGCCAUGCCGCGUGUGUGAAGAAGGCCUUCGGGUUGUAAAGCACUUUCAGUGGGGAAGAAAGCCUUGGGGCUAAUACCCUCGAGGAAGGACAUCACCCACAGAAGAAGCACCGGCUAACUCCGUGCCAGCAGCCGCGGUAAUACGGAGGGUGCGAGCGUUAAUCGGAAUUACUGGGCGUAAAGCGCGCGUAGGCGGUCUGAUAAGCCGGUUGUGAAAGCCCCGGGCUCAACCUGGGAACGGCAUCCGGAACUGUCAGGCUAGAGUGCAGGAGAGGAAGGUAGAAUUCCCGGUGUAGCGGGGAAAUGCGUAGAGAUCGGGAGGAAUACCAGUGGCGAAGGCGGCCUUCUGGACUGACACUGACGCUGAGGUGCGAAAGCGUGGGUAGCAAACAGGAUUAGAUACCCAGUAGUC
rnacentral:rRNA from 1 species